UAAUUCAUAAAUAUAUUCUUCCUACACUACACAUCAAGUGCUGCACAGCACAAACAUGUUUGAGACUGGUAGUACAUUUUUGGCAAAGCUCAACCUAACAACCCACCCAUAUCCCUUUAAUUGCAACUACCAAGGCGUAUAAACUCUUUGACCUAAACCAAAGGAAAAACCAAAAAUUAUGUUAAAAUUUUUUACCUAAAUAGAAGGAGAAUUCAUUAUCUACUUGUUUUUGAAGAAACUUCCAGAAAACGUUAUUUUAAUAUUUUAUACUUUACUCUGUUUUGAGAAUGCAACUGAUUUUCAGGAAGCACUUGAGGGUACAUACUAAAAUGAUUAAAAUAUGACAAAAUUUACCUUAUUUGAGAGGGA
rnacentral:misc_RNA from 1 species